GUCAACAUAGUUUUAAACAAAAACAUUAGGGUGUGGACCUAAAGAUAGAAGCUAAAACCUUCUUGUUGAC
rnacentral:tRNA from 1 species